GCUCGUGGUUUCCCUGGAACUCCUGGUCUGCCUGGCUUUAAGGGAAUUAGGGGACACAAUGGUCUGGAUGGUCAAAAGGGACAACCCGGUACUCCUGGCAGCAAGGGAGAACCUGGUGCCCCCGGUGAAAAUGGUACCCCAGGACAACCUGUAAGUAUUUACUGCUGCUGUGGAAAAUGAUAAUAUCUGAUUGAUAUGGUUCAGCCAGCAUUUUGGUCAAUUUUUGUCAUC
rnacentral:lncRNA from 1 species